AUCAGCUGUAUUAUCGAGUUAUACAAUUCAUACAACUACAUAUCUAAGCAUCUUUGAAAUGAUGGUUACAUAGUUAAGUGUAUCAUCAAUUAUUUGAAGUAUAUUUGCUGAUCAAUGAUUGAUAAUUUAUAAAAAUGCAAGUAAUUAUUGAUUGUGAAUAUUCAUAUAAGAUUGUUCACACUUCUGCCAAUUUGUUUACUUGAAUUAUAUCGAUUAUUAAGCAGACAAUAUGUAAAUUGAUACCUAUAGUUCCAAUACACCAGAGAUACACAUGUACGAAACAAGAAAUGGUUUAAAGAAGUUUCGCAAUUUCGCCGUAAAUCAUUCUAACGAAUUAGAUGCGAAAAGCGAAGCGAAUUAUUUAGCGAAUUAGAAAAUAUUUAAACAUUGUGGAGAAGGACAAUGGGAAUGCGAUGGGAUUUUCACGAGUUCGAUGCUAUUUGUUUAUGAAAAAUUAUGAAUUAAACAGGUGCCAGGGAAUCUUCUUUUUUUUUAUUUUUGUUUUCCAAUUUGAAGCACCAAUUGAUGAAAGAAAAGGUUUUAUUAUUGUUUGUCCACUUAAAUUUUAUCGUUGUUUUAAAAUUUUAACAAGAUAAACUAUUGUACUUUUUUAUGGGUAAAUGAAUGUAACAAAAAAAGCAAUUGUUUUAGUAAAACAGAAAAAAGGGAAAGAAAAUGUUACAGGCAUUUGACAACAAAGAUCGUAUACAAAUGUGUGUGACCUUGUAAACAAAAUAACCGGAAAUAAAGAUACGGAUAAAGAAACUUGCAUGUGAAGUUUAUCAUGGAAAUUUAGUA